GACGAACGCUGGCGGCGUGCCUAAUACAUGCAAGUAGAACGCUGAAGGAGGAGCUUGCUUCUCCGGAUGAGUUGCGAACGGGUGAGUAACGCGUAGGUAACCUGCCUGGUAGCGGGGGAUAACUAUUGGAAACGAUAGCUAAUACCGCAUAAGAGUAGAUGUUGCAUGACAUUUGCUUAAAAGGUGCAAUUGCAUCACUACCAGAUGGACCUGCGUUGUAUUAGCUAGUUGGUGAGGUAACGUCUCACCAAGGCGACGAUACAUAGCCGACCUGAGAGGGUGAUCGGCCACACUGGGACUGAGACACGGCCCAGACUCCUACGGGAGGCAGCAGUAGGGAAUCUUCGGCAAUGGACGGAAGUCUGACCGAGCAACGCCGCGUGAGGGAAGAAGGUUUUCGGAUCGUAAAGCUCUGUUGUAAGAGAAGAACGAGUGUGAGAGUGGAAAGUUCACACUGUGACGGUAUCUUACCAGAAAGGGACGGCUAACUACGUG
rnacentral:rRNA from 1 species